AAGCUGCAGAAAGGAAGAGGGCGGACUUUCUUCUGGAUCUCCUGCCAGAAAUGAAAAGCUGUCACAGAUCGAGAGGAACCAUGGAGGAAAGAACACCACAGAACCUGCUGCUCUGUCUGAGUUUCCUCCUGUGCUGCACAAUAAACCAAGCAGGCCUCCCAGUUGGUCCGACUGUGAGUCCCAGCAGAUCUCAGUUCUUUGAAGGAGAAUCUGUGUUUCUGAGCUGUGAGGAGGACGACAGCUCUGCUGGAUGGACUGUGAGGAGGUACACAGCCAAAGAAGGUGUGGACUGUGGAGAUGAUUUGGAAAAAGCUGCUGGUUCUACCUGUAACAUCAGCAGCCUCUUCAUAGAGGACAGUGGCGAUUAUUGGUGUGUGUCCAGAUCGGGACUAAACAGCAUCGGCAUCCAACUCACUGUCACUGGUAAGAUCAGACUGUGGAGUUAGUGUUGAUGAAGCUGUGUGGA